CGCGCACGCCACGCGCGCACGGACGGACGGAGACGGCGCGAGACGCAGCGCGAGCGGAGCCGCCAGGGCGCGCGAGACGGGAACCGCCGCCGCCGGGGCCGCCCAGCCCUGCCGAGGAGAGACAGGCGGGGCCGCCCCUCCCGCCGCGCGCGCGGCUCCCUUCCCCCCUCCCCCGCCCUUCCCCGCGCCGGAUGCCGCCGCAGGGGGGCCGCCCCGCGCCGGGCCCCAACCGGCCGAGCCCGGCCCGGUCCGGCGCGGCAAACGGGACGCGCCGAGCCUUCUCCCAGUCCCGGCCCUCACCCCCUCGCCCCCUCCCCGCGCGGCCUCCCCCCCCCCCCACCCCCCUCUUCCCGGCGCGGUGCGGCCCAUCCCCCCGGGCCGUGCCCCGGAUGCAGCCGCUCGGCCCGGCUCGGCCCCGGGGGUUUGCCAGGCGGUCGAGCAGCGGCCCCUCGCCCCGCCGGCGCGCGGCCGGGCCCUCGCACACAAUGCGGCCCGGGCCCGACGGACCGCGCCGCGCCCCCGCCCGCUCCUCCGCUUCGCCUCAGCGCGGGCCCGGCCGUCCCGGUACGCGGGGCCGGGCACACGUGCGGGCGGUCCACGCGCGGCGCCGCGGGCGCUGCUCACCUGGGGGCGCGGGCCGCCGAGGCGCCUGGUGCCGCGCGCGCCGCCGCCGUCUCCGCGCCCAGCAGCAGCAGCAACAACGGAGUCAGCGCGGCGGCGGCGGCGGCGGCUUUUCCUGUCCGGUUACGUUAGGGUCACAUGACCGAGAGCGGAGCACAGAGGCUGCAGCGAGGAGCCCCCGCCGGGGGGGAGGGGAGGCGGCGAGCGCUGUGGCGGCGGCGCCGGCGCCAGCAGCCGCCACCCACCCCCCCCCCCCUCUCCGCUCCUCCCUCCCUCCCUCCGCCCGCGCCGCCGGGCAACGGCCCCGCCGCUGGGGGCUGCCGGUGCGCGGGGCCGGGUUCGCGGCCCCUUUAAAACUCCCGGGGGGGAGCGCAGCGCGGAGGGGCGGGGGGCGGUGCGGUCCCCCGCCACCCCGCUCUGCUCGCUGCCGGGCGGGGGCGGCUCCGCGCUGUGGCGCGGCCUCAACGGCCUUAACGGCCGCGAGAAGCGGCAGCCACAGGUGCGUCCCGUGGGGCCGCGGCCUUCCUUGCGCGCCUCGCAGCGGGCCCGUUCUGCGGGAGGUGGCGGGCCGGGCCGAGGCCUCGUCGCCUUGACGCCCGCGAUGCGCCGUGCUGCGCUGCGGAGCCCGGGCGGCAGCGGGCGGUGCUGAGGCCGGGUCCCUGCGGGCCGCGGCGUGCGGCGGAGCCCCGCUCGGGGCCGGGUGCGGGGCUGGCGGGGCAGCGUGCCGCUUGGAAGCUCGGUGGGAGGCGUUUGGCCAGCAGCGGAGCGUUAGUUUUUAAUUAUUUUCACUUCUUAGGUCGUUCAACCGUUUCAGCGUAGUUAAAGGCAGCACACGCGAGGCACCUGCCUGACCUGUGAGUGCUGGCUGUGGCUGGGCUGCUGUCUUCACGGUCGUUGCAUCCGAUGUGCUGUGCGGAGGAAAAGUGACCAGUGCCAAACCUUUCGGGGUAGUGCCCUGACAGCAAGUGAGCUGAGGGCAGGGUGGGAGCGGGGUCUGCUCCGCGUUGGUCUGCUCUGUAGUUCAACAGGGGACUGCAGCCAGCCGGGGCUGCUGCUUGUCUUAGGGGGUCUGAAUCAAUCACGGGCUGGAAGAGUUCUAUGUGAGUGUGACUGCUGGCUGCACUGGAACUAAUGGAAGGCCAGAUAGCUAUAGCUGGAGUCUGCUUGCAGCAGGCAGCUCAGAGAUAUCGGCUUAUUUAUCCAGCAAUGCCUGAAAAAGAAACAAUUAAUUAAGUCCUAAAAACAAAUGGCAAAACUUAAUUUUCUUGGAGCCGAAAGCUGUCAAAGUUUGCUGCUGUUGUGAUACUUUGAAUGAGGAAGCUGGACAACACUGCAUCUUCUCUGAACUUGCCUUGAGUAUCCUUGCUGUGCAGCACUGCAAGAAAUACGCGUGUAGCAGCCCUCACAGCAAUGCGAUAGAAGCUUAUAGACUGUAUUUAACCAGCAGAAUGAAAGGCUUUUAGUCUGCCUGGCAGAUUUUUCCCCCUUGACAUUGCUUCUGCAAGCGAAAUGCAAAGUAAAGAGAGUAGCUGGAUGUUGGAACUUGUGUUGCUUGGUAGUGAACAGAGUUUGUUCUCACAGAAUGUGGUGAGAGAUGCAGUUUUCACUUGAAUUCGAAUGGGCUCCUUGGGAAGGUGAGCGUGUUUCUGGCAGGUGCCUAUUGGAUGGUUUUGCUCUGUGGCCUGCUUUUUCUCUUUUGUUGCACUUGGAUAAUUCUGUGUCAGCAGUCCUGUGAGAUUCUCCUCUGUGCUUUCUCUGAAACUGGAGGAGAAUGAACUGUUAUUGCUUAUUAUUGAUAACUCCAGCUUUAAAGAACCCGGUUUGCUCGGCAGUUCUGUAAUUCACCAAUAAUGUGGCUCUUUAAUUUAUAAGUACUGUCUGAUUCAGAGCCCAUUGGGAUCGGUGGGAAGAUUUCUGUGCUGUUUAGUGCCACCUAACUUUACAUCCUCAGUGCUGAUUUACACCUGAGGGGCACCAGCUGUCACUGGGAAGCCAACGAGUCCACUGUUGCAUUUUUUUGUGACAUUCGGCUCAAAGUGUGAAUCUAAAAUUUUACUUCUGUCCAAUCUUUUGUGGUAUUUUUUAAACUUACCAUCAGUACAACAGAAAUUGUAAUUGAAAAUGAUCUUUUUCUCUUCAAGUUGUAUCAUCGUUCUUCUGGAUGGUGACUUUUUUUCUCCAGUUUCUUGAGGUACUUUUUCAGGAUUUAUUUCCUAAUCUUUCCAAGUUUUUGAAAGGAGAGUUCAAAGUGCUUCAGAUGUUGCUAUGAACUUGAGAGCACUCUUGGUUGUGUUGCUGUUAAUGAUAGGAUCAGUCUCUGGGUUUUUGGUUUCUUUGCUCUCCGUGUCCCUAGAUAAAGGCAGAAUUUUGACUAGUAGGACUGCAUUUUGCAUUGUAAAUAAGCAUAGCACCAAUGUUUUCAGUGUUAAUAAGAUGACAAAGAUCAAUACCUUCAUAGAUAUGAGUCAGGUUCAAACUUCGGAUUAUGACAAGUGAGUCUUGUAGUGUUUUUUAAAAAUGGAAGAGUAGAGUCUUCUAGGAGUGACUUGCUUAUUCCUUGCUCUAGCAGUGCAUGUCUACUCCUGCAGGACUGUUUCUGGAACUGCUGAAGCUUCUGGGAGCUGGAAGUGCGUGUCCCGGUCCUGGGCACUGUUUCCAUGGUGGUACAACUGUGGAGUAAUGUUUAUUAACAAUACUGCAAGUCCAUUUUAUUAGCACAGCUGCUACUUAAAGCACAUCAACAUCUUUAUUGUUAGUGGGUGUAGUGGAAAUGCUAAAUCACAGCUUCAAGCAGUGAUUGAGCACCUGGUGAGAAGGCAGGGCCAAGCCAGGGGAGCUCAGGUGCAUGCAAUGCACCUGAAGUGACUGGAAGGAGUAGAGCCAAGAUCCACCUCUUCCCAGACUUCAUUUAAGGGUUGGUAGUGCAGGCAAGCAUAUCCCCUCUGGAGAUCCUGGCUUACCCAAGGGUCUUAUAGGCCUUCUUAAGCAGUGAGCGGUUUAUUUCUCUUAUUUCUGGGCCUACUGCUAUCACAUAUAACCAGAUUCUCACUCGCUGUGGCUUAAGACUUUGCUGUUCUGCCAUCUUGUUAUGCUUUCUAACAUGUUAUAGGGGGAAGUGCAACAGCACCAGUAACUUCUUGCUUAAUAAAUAUAAUUCCUCUGAUAGCGUCUGAUCUUCUUAUCCAGGAAUAUCUUCCUCAUUAUAAUUUGCCAUUCCAUCAGUCAAACCUUACUGGUGUAUCUCUGCAUUGGGAGUACAAACCAAGAAGUGGUCCCAGGAGAUGCUCUUGCAUAGGGGUGCAGCAGCAGAUGAGGAACGGCUCUGCAUUUUCUCUUGUCUUGGUUUCCCUGGCAUAGGGACCUCCUGGUGGAUGUGCUUGUGAUAGGUGAGCGGUCAACCCCUAAGCUGUCAUGUUGAUAGCGGGUCUCAGUUUCCUAGAGGCAAAGGAAAACUGUUGUGUAGGCCUUUCAUUUUUGGUGAACACUGUAUAUGUGGAAAGAAGGAAGAAGUAGAAUAGAGUAGCUGUCCUUCUGGUAUCAUGAGUUAGUUAAGAAUGUGGAAGCAUAUUGUUUUUACACCUAGCGAACAAAGCUUUGCCUACAGCAUCAGGGUAGCUGCAAAUGACACCAGCAAAACAACCCCCAAACAAAACAGAACAAAAAAUCCCAAAUAUUUUUGCUAAUAGAACGUCUGUCAUCAAAGGAAGUGGUUUAACUGCAUGUAGAAAAAUAUUUUUGCUAGGAGUCUCUUUUCCAUCAGGAGUUGUAGUGUCACUUAACUGACACAGCUUCUGCAGUGCAGAUUGCCCCUCUUUGUUCUGCCUUUGCCUUCAUCCCAGAUUAGCCUGGUAGAGCCGCCCUGCCUGCUUUCAACUGGAAGAGCUGAAACGUGACUGCGCUCUUAGCUGGGGAGACGUUUGUAGUGGAGCAGGAUGAUAGUUACAUGCGUAUGUGUACUUGUAUAUUUUACUGUCCUAGGGGAAAAAAUUAAAGCUGCAACUGUACGGAGUGCGUUUUUGAGGCUGAGGUGUUCUGUAGAAAAUGACGCAUCUGAGUGAACAGCAUUGGUGCUAUGUUCACAUCACCAUUUAAUGCUGUCUAUGUGGUGACUUUAAGCUUAUGAGAUACUUAAUAGUUGUGAAGAAAUUGUGUUGGCCAGUCUUGUGAUUUAAGCUUAGGAGGUUGUCAAAAAGUAUUUGGGGGACAGCGACUAGCACAGUUUGGUAUUCCUGUUUCACCAGUCUGGAAAAUGUAUUUUUUGUGUUGCUGGAGCUGGAAGACUUGACAUAAAUAGCAGUAAUAAGGAGAACUGGUGAUACUAGAUGCAAACACAAUGCCUUCAACAACUCAAAGUAGACUUAAGGAAAAAAAGGUCUCCUUUUUUUCUUUGCUUAAGAAUCUGAAAUGGGUUGGUCACCGUGCUGUGUGUGAGGAGAGAGGGCUGGUUGCUCUGUUUUCCAGGUGGCACCAGGUCAAUUCAGUUACUGCUCUCUCAUACGCUUUAGAGGACUCCAAAGCGCUGCAAUCACAUAGUUUUCUGAGUUUCUGAGACCCAGCCUCCUGGAUUUUAGGUGUAGUACAGAAUACACGUGUUGUUAAGAAAUCAUUGUGGGGAUCAGGAGAAAUGGGCUGUCUUGUACCAUGCAUAGUUAUGGCACAAUAAUUUUUGAAGGCUAUCAGAGAUCUUUGCCUUCCUUCUCAUUGUAAAGAAUUACAAUCUCUUUUUUUUUCCUCAGCUGGUCUUAUGUACUUCUCAAGACACAUUCUUUUCCCCUGGGCCACGGGCUUGAUUUUUAAAUCCCUGCACAUUAUUUAUUGUAUCCAAGUACCUCAAGUUCCAUACAUUUUUUUGGUAGUUGUCAGGCCAUCAUCAAGCAGUCUGUGGACUAGGAUCCCAAGACGCUUGACAGAUGCUUAAUGCCAUCCAGGGAAGAAAGGCUCUACCUCACAGGUCAGUAAUUUCCAACCUAAAGUCUUUCCUUGUCUUGAGGGUCUGGGAAAGGUGACUGGUAAAAACAAGAGGUACACCACUUGCUUUUACAAUUUCUGAAUCAAUCUACAUGUGAAGUGUCCAAAAUUGGAAAAGAUUUUUCACAAAGUUGUUUCUAUAGGGGUCACUCAUCUCUUGUUCUCUGGUAGGCACCCUGUGCUUUAGAAGGCAACUUUGUGACUUAGCUAUGAGUAAAACUCAUUUAGGUGGACAGAUAGUAUCUGACUCAUCUCUUCACUGUUGGGCUGAACCUUGUCCUGUUCCUAGGGUUAGCUUAGAAUGGAGAAAGGAAGAGAAUCUUUGUUUCAGGUGGUAGAUGCUUGAAGCUAGCAAGAAUGUCAUCCUCCUCUAAGCUCUUAUGUGCCAUCUGGACUGAGUGUAAGUUAUCCUUGCUGGGAUCUUGGGAAAGGUGUCAUUUGCAUGAAGUUUUUUGUAUACGGAGCUGGCAUGCUGACAAAACAAUUGACUGUGGCCAGUACAGAGGUUCCCUGCAAAAACUCUGCUGGAAGUCAGGAGUCCUGUUAGCUUUCUUUGCUGCUGUAGAAGUGGCUUGUCUUCUGACAUCUCUUUCUAGUGGAUCCACCAAAGAAAAUAAUUAUCUACAAGUUGUCCUUCAUGUCAUCUGACAGAAGCUGUCAGCACUGUUGGGAUCUCUAUAAAAGAUGGUCUAAUUUGAAUGACAUUUGUCAUUAUAAAGUUGCAGUUCUAAGAGCUGUUGAUACACCAGGCUUGUUCUGUUUUUUUCUCACAUUCUGUAUUUACUACUAUUGCACUCUUCCUUAGAUGAUCCUCAUGGGCUAGAAUAGACCCAUUUUGGAGUUUAACUGAACUGUGCAAAUUGUAGUGAAGAAAGUUCUUUGCAGUUCAACUAGGAAGGUGUGUAGGGGAUGAGACAAAUAAGAUGGAUAUGUUUUUAGAGUCACAGUGGUUUUUUGCUUCUAGAACUGGAUUUAAUCUUGUCUCUGCCACAGAACUCCCUGCUAAUUGGGUCAUGCAGUAAACUUGCACAGGACCUCUGUCAGCUGCCCAGCUUGAAGCAGGGCUGAAGAUUGCAGAUGGGAGAAAUGUGCUAAUUCUGCCCCACGUAGGGGGUUGCUGUGCUAUCAUAUUUUGCUGCGAAAGCUCAAGUUAAGUUCUUGGUGCGUUUGUAUUCCUGGCUUGGUCUGGGGUCUCUGUGUAUAAUGUAGUGAAGAUAUUCUCACACUGUCAGACUGUACAGUUCAAUUAAAAACAAACCCACAGCCCUCGCUUGAGAUGCAGCUGCCAAUGGAAACACGAUUGAAGCAGAUUGAUACAAAAUUUUAAUAUGCAGUUACAGCUUAACUGCAUAAGUAACACUGAAUAGUCACUCAAUAUAGCAAAGGGGGUUGGAAUCUUGGAGAAGACUUGGAUUUCACAACCUUCAUCAUCUGUGCAGACAGAAACUGAUGUAAAGUUGCAAAACUAACCAUGCUUCUGUUGUUUUAGUGUGUUUGACUUGCUAACUCUUAAGCACCAUCUUAAGACAGAACACCUGAGAUAUUCAAACCUAGAUGCUUCAUGCAUUUAAAGAGCCUCUUGGAGUCCUCAAAUGCCUUUGUUAAAAGCUCUUUUGUUGAUGGAUGCAUUUGGCCUGCAGGGUUACAUUUUAGCAGCUUAAGCUGAAAUACUGAAACUAUUAAAUGUGUGAGAUGAAUGGGAACAUAGUAUCUCAGCCUCAGGUGUUACGCUUAAAUUGGGGAGGAGGGGAAGCCUGUUUUGUGUGUUAAGAAAAAAAAAGUUUGCUAGAAUAAUGACAGUUAAAUUUUAACUUAAUUCUCUGUUAGAGUAGUUACGUAGGAAAAACCAAGCACCACUUAAUGGAUCUAAUGUACUACUUCUCUAAACCUAUGUAAGAGAUAAGCACCGAGGAGCUGUUCUGCAGUUACUAGUAAGCUUUGGCACCAAGCUGUUGUGCUGACUGAUUCACUCCUGUGAAUGGGGCUGACAGCUCAGACCUUCUCAGCAGCUCACAGAACUGGUAGUUGAGCUAUUUCCAGAACCGAGAUCUCCAGGUAUUACCUGUUUUGAUUCUCUGAGGAGAAAAGCCUACUGUUAAAGAGGAGUUAGUGCUUCUUACAAUGGACAGACUUGUAGUCAGUCACAUGUUUUUCCUAGCUCUGCCCAAUUCUAUUCUCAUUAGAACAAAUAGCAGUGUUGUAAGAAGCUUAUUUCCUGAAAACGAGUCGUCUUCAGGACAGUAUCACUUCUAUCCAAGAAGGAGCUGGGGAAGACUGGGGAAUCAUCAGAAAUGUAGGAAGUGGUUAAAUAAUCAGCAUCUCUUUAACUGUCAAGGGGCUGAGGCACGAGAAUCUGUCAGCAAAUUAACAAGGUCAGCCCAGAAGGGGUCCAUCCUUCUGUCUCUGUUCAGUAAGGAGGAAAAUGCUAGCGCUCUGUAUCCAGCCUAAUGACUGGCAGGAUUCCCCUACAACUGCAUCAUUUGUACCUCAGCUUCACACUAGCACAUCCAUAGGAUAAGACUUCUUUAAUAUCACUGUUACAGCAGUUGGUAUAAUGUUCACAAUUUCUUUAUUUGAGUAGAGUAUGUACAUAUUUAUCAAGAGAGACAAUUCCACUGUUUUCCAGAAGCAUGUGAGACAGGAAUUUUCUUGGCCAUGUGGUCACGAUGGUUUUGUUGGUUUCCUUCCACAGUUUAUUCUGAUGUCAGAGCACUACCCUUGCGAGUUCAAACAUAACCUGUGAAAUAGCAAACACAUCAUUAAACCAAUGAACAAUUCUUAUCAAUCUUUAAAACAGCUUAGACUGUAAGCCAGAAAAUAACUACAGCUGCAGCUCAAAAGCUACUUGCAAAGAACUGAAGACUAAUCCCCUUAUCCGUUACAUGAAUAAGCUAAUCUCGAUUUUUCAAAUUGAGGUAUAUAAACUGCACUUAUUAUUACAUUCUUCAAUGUGAUAGUGGGGGAAAAAACCCACCACAACCAACCUCUAUGGUGAUGAGUAUUACUAUCAUCCACUCGAGGCGCAGAGCAUGCUUUUCAUUCAGGUGGUUUCGCAUUAGGUCUGUCAACUCCAUGCAGUGCUGAAGCUUUUCAUUCAUUACCUGCAACAGAUUUCAAACACAGGGCAAAGCUGGGUUCUCCACAUUGUGUGAGAUCACUACAGAAACAAUCCAUAAAGGGGCUCACUGCAGAAAGCUGUUAACAUUUCUGUGAAAGUGCAGGAUGCAAAGUCUUGUGAUGUAGCGUGCACAAGCAAUGGGAGUUCUAAUACAACUCUCAGUUCAAAGAGUCAUAAAAAUAAAUACAAAUUUAGAUAUGCAUAUGAAGGUAUUAAACAGCUACUGGGUGACAUUUAGUCACAAAACAGUGCAAGCAAAUAACAUGCAGCUUACGGGAAUGCCUCAAAAGUAACUAAAUAAGUAUGUAAGGUUGCUGUACCACUGGAAGAGGUAUCUCAUGCUUAUUCUGGUAGAGCAGUAAGCAUUACAUUGCCCUGCAAUGGACUGACCUGGAUGAUCAUGUCAUCAGUAAGAAGACUGCUUCACAUCACAUUUUUUUUUAAACUUGUUUUCUUGCACACAUUUCAGAAAAAGAAUUAAAGCUCCUCUUCUUACAACUAUUUAAAGCCUAAGUUAGUGGCUCAGGAAGUACACAAUCCAUUUAAGUCUAGGUGGUUGAGGCAGGGCUGUUAACCUAAACUGGGUAGAAGAUGUGAGUGGGUUACGAAUACAGAAAGGGGGAUGGUGUAUAGGAGCCUAUCGGUCUUUGACUCUUAUAAAAGAAAAACAGACAUCCGUGGAACCUGGCUGAGCCAAUGACAGCUGAAUGGAGUAUGGAAAAUUGUUACAACAGUAAGACACCUACCUUAACUCUGCGAUUAAUGUUGAGAAAUUGGCAUGUUUUGUCAUAAAGCUCUUCCAGUUUUUCUCUGUCCCAGUAGAAGUCAGGUGUUAUUAGCAGGUCUGAACUCAGAUUUAUGCGGUGUCUAAAAAGAAUGGUUACUGCAGUAGUUCAAAGUUCCUUCUGGUGCAUAUAGGAGCAAAUAUUUACAUAGUAAUUAAAAUAAAAAUUACAAAGUUUUUCUUGUUAAGUAAAAUAUAAGAAUCUCAUUCAUAAUAAAAACACACAUGUAGUCACUGUUUAGAACUAGUAAUAUCUCCUGAAACUUUUCCAAGAAUACUGUAAUAUGCACACUUUAUGCAUUAAUUGCUUUUGCCUUACGGCAACAUUACCUCCUUAACUUGUCACUUUCCUUGACUUCUCCUAGCUGUACAGAAGUCCUUCACUAUGCUGGUAGCUCAUUGAAGCUGAUCAAAUAUGUGAAUUAAAGUUAUGGGGGAGGUCCUUAACAGCUUGUUUCUAUUUGAGAACUCUUAAGUGUUACUGGCAGUGCUCACUGGGGAUGGGAGCACAGUUCAGAACCAGGCUACUGUCUCAACAUUAUAAAGGCUAGGAGAUAAAGUCUUCUGUCUCUCAACCUACUGAUCACGUAAAUCUUUGAACUUUUGAUCAUUGUAGCUCAUUUACUGAAAGGUCCUCCAAGCACGGGUAUAAAACUCAAUGUUUAAAAUAGGAACCAUGUUUUCAUUUAUCUCUUUCUUCACUGAUUCUGCAAGGUUUCUAUUAAAAAAAAAAAAAAAAAAAAAAGUCUGUAGUAAUUGCAACUUUUCACUUGAGAGAGAUAAAAUGUAAUCCUGGCAAUGUAGUAUUUGUUUCCAGUGAGUCUAGGGGAAGAACAGAACUUGCAGAUGAUGUCCAAUCACUGAAAAGCUUUUCUAACUUUCAGCCAUAGUUCACAAUUCUGCCAAUCCCUGUGCUUCCUCCCGGUAUCCUUUUGCAUGCUGUAGUACGUACUGUAACUGCAUUCCUGAACCCAGAGAAGGAAAAGGGUGUGGAAUCAGUCCAUUUACAGAAUGCUGCUUAACACAUGUCUACAGUUGAGGUACUGAGCAGUGAGUCAGUGGGAAACAGUCCUCUGACCACCACAACAGCACACACUGCCAUGAGCCAGAAGGUGUCUGAGGGAAUCCCCCCACUACUACACUGUGUUUAGGCCAGACUGAACUGCUCCGAAGCUUCUAGUGUACUUCUGGUGUCUUUGUAUCAUGCACAACUUGAUUUUUAAUUUUUGUAUGAUGAUACCUUCAGUGUAACAAAAAAUGUUACCUUAAUGCAAAAAGUUCUCCGAUUUUCUGCAUGACAUCUGCGUGAGAUAGUUUUACCUUCCUUCUUGAUUUUAGUAUCUGCAAAGUAACAAGUUUUACCUGCCUGAUCAAAUAGCAUAUACUAGUGGUUAAGAAGUCUGAAGUUGUACAGCCUGAAGUAUAUAUAAGUUAAAAUCUAAACACGUAUCAGAUUUAAUAACACUUAAGUUUGGUUUCCAUAGUGCCUUGCUUAUCUAGCUUGAUAAGAGUACUGUCGUUCAGCUAUUCUCCCAGGUAAGAAUCCUGGAACGCUUUCUGUGAAUCGUUUGUUCUCUCUCAAUACUACUGCUAUUUUUAAGGCAUGACAGUGUUCUUUUUACCUUACUGCUGUUUAGCUUUUCUACAAAUGUCCUCCUCACUUAAAACAAUGUAUUACUAUUUAUUCUCUUCAUUAAAAAUAAAUGAGGAUUUAUCUUUUGAACCCUGUGAAUCUUAUUUGUGUAUGCAACAUGAUACAGACUUCUUAUUUUAAUUACAUCUCAAGAGAAAGCGUAGCUUAAGUGUAACUCAUGAACUCUUAAUUAUAUUGAAGUCACAGUGAGGCCAAGCUGCCACACUAUGCUAUGUUUGGUCAGGCUUUUAAAUGCAGUUUUCCCCAUGCUGUGCCCCAGCCCUUUACAGGCUGCCGGUUUCGUGUCCCAGCCCUUUAAAGAUGUUCUGAACUUUCUAUCUUGAUGGAUUUACAAUCAAAUGUGUUAAGUAUCCAGUUGCUUUUUGCUAUAUCCUCGGCUGUAUCUAGACUGAUAGAGAUUUUACAAAGCACAGGAGAAAAUGAGGAGAAAGGUACAAACAAGACCUCACCUCAGGAAUUGACUGGAUAGAUUCCACAAAGUUAUCCAAUAACGACUCCCAAAUAGCCAGUUUUACUGCAACACAGAGGUGACAAAGCAGAAUGCUGUGAGAGGCAGGUAUGUAUGCUUUCAAGUAAUCAUCUACAUCUGCCAAAAUACAGCACUGUCUCUAGACAUGCUGACACAAACAUAUCUGUAGUGAGUUACCAAUUACACCAUACAACCAAUGUAUUCGUACAUCUACAGACAAAUUUGGGUUGUGUAAUGACACAAAUCUGCCUGCAGAACCACCAUGAGCUCAACUCUCCAGUGGAUCGGUUCAGAUCCUGGAGAAGCUUUGCUUCAGCUUAGGAAGGUGAGUUUGAGUGCUACACUGUGUCUGUGCCUUUGCAAACUCCAUUCCAAGGAGGCAAUGCAGAAGCUUGAAAUACUUUGCAUUGCUGGAGUCAAAUGGACUUCACGUGGUGCCAGUCAAGUUUCCACUGCAUUUCUACAAUGUUGUGCAGAACUUUGGCUCCAUUAGUCCUGUGUUUGAUGAAUCAUGCUCAAGCCAGUGAGAAUUAGCUUGUCUAGUGAUGCCACCACCUGUAUUUGUUGAAGCUAAAUCCAAACUUACACAACUUCCAAUUUUGUUCUUUUGGUGAAUAUAAUGCUAACUUCAACUACAAAAAAAACCCUAUUCUCUGGAAGUUGUUAAUCCCACGUAGUACCAACACAAGUUCUACUGUGUCUCAGCUUGAUCCUUCAAGAUGAUUUCUACAUGGACAUGCAGAAAUCAGGCUGUUUUUCAGUCCUCAGAUUCCCAAGCAAGAAUGAAGUAAUAACAUCUGAUCAGUUCCAAAAAUUACCUCCAUCCACUGAGAGAAAUUAAACAGAAAGAUUUAAUUCUCGAACUCUUUUGUGAUCACAAUCAUACUAGUCAAGAAGCACAAUAAACCCAGUUCUGAGCAUUCUUCGUGUUCAUCUUAUGAGUACAGAGCCCUAAUCCAAGCCAGUGACUUAAACAGCAUUUAAUUUAGCCUUUGAAAACAGACAUUUUAGCCAGCAGUGAUUAUUUGACAGAUGUUGGCUUCUGUUGUGUUGUAAAGUUGACUUUAACUAUACUGCAUCCCUUAACAACACUGAACAUUGCACUGUCUUCCUUUGUGGUGUACAUGUUUCAUAGUAACAUAACUUGGCACCAAGUAUCUCCUGGGAAUAAAUCCCUUGCUCCAUUAUACAUGGCAACACUUUUUCAUGCUGUGGGCUUAACAACAGCAAAAGUAAAGGCUUUUUUCCUUAGUAGCUCUUUCUUCAGCGGUCAAGAACCAUUUAGUUAUUAUGCUGUAUGUCUUGAUCAAGUAGUAUAUCACUUCCAAAACACGCAUUCUGUUUCUUGAUGUCUUCUGUUUAAAGUUAUGUUCCCCCACAUAGUAUAUGAAUCUUGUAAUUUACUCAAAAAGCAGUAGAGGUUUUCCUUUAAAGUCUUCUUGAGGACAGCCUUAUUGCUGCUAGUUUCUGUUCCCACUUACUACCUUGUUCUAGGUCUGAAGAAGCAGAGAUUAUUUCCUCGGGCAGAAGCAUCACUACUGAGCCUGAAUUCUUCUCAGUGCCUCCUGACAUAAAUACCACUAUGGCACACAGCCAUUGCUAACAAUCCUGGAAAACACGGUCUGAGACUCCAGUCCACACACUUGAUGCUGCUAGACUCCCCAAGCUGAAAAUUGGUUUUACAACUCUCUCUGGUUUAGCUGGUAUCGAGUUUUUUUUUCUGUUAAUGAUGUCAUGAUCAAUUAAGAUCACUGACAGCUUUGUAAUACUGGGCUGCACUCUUGACAAUCCUAGAAUAAUCUCCAGUGUGGGCAAUGGGAUGCUUAGUAGAAUGUCUGUCUUUAGCAAAGUAUUUUCUUAAGGAGUUUUGUUCAUCUUUACGAUUUACACAUUGCAAAAAGUAAUUCAAAUUUAAGGAAGACAAAGUAAAAAUGAAUCCUCCCACUGAUGUGCAAUCAAUCUUUAUACAGUUUACCAAAACCAGACACUAAGUCUUCUCCAACCUUUCAAAGUUCCACUCACAAUGGUAUUUCACUAAAUCUAUAGAAUGAGUUGAUAGUACACAAUAGCAUUAACUUACCAGAAAGACAAAGGGCAUUUGAAAAGGCAAAUUUCUGCAGGACGACUUCAUCAGUAUCCAGCUCAGAAUUUAACAAGAUUUCUCCCUUAUGAAGCUUCGAUUGCCCUCUGUAAGAACAAGAUUUAAGCAUCUUCAUUGACUAAGCCAAACAGCAAAGGAACAUUUAAAGAACAAUCAGUGCAAGUAAGAUUGGUUAUAUAAAGAUAAUGGUCUAUCUACAUGGCUAUCACCCUCAUUGUUGCAUUUUACUCAUGUUCAGUACAAAAAUAACCAAAACAGAUAACUGAAAAUAAGUUCCUCAGUCUUAAGACUACGUCGGGUAUCACAAAUUCCACAAGUGGAUAGUUCACGCAGUUUUCAAAUGGCCAGAAAACAAACAAACAAACAAAACCAAAAACCAACCAAACAAAAAAAACCCACACUUGUCCUCUGAAGAAAUUACUUUAACUAAACUCAAGCUCAUUAGCUCAGCUUAUGGUGUUACUGUCUCCUGAGUACAGUUUUUUGGUGUCGUUGGAACAUUGCAGAUAAAUGACAUCACCAACAACAUUGAUAAGUAUCUCCACAGAGAUCAUUUGCUCUCCGUGAUGAAAAAAGUAGUUAAAAGGACAAGAUAGGUGCCAGAUUUAUCAGUACACAUCACUCAAGCUGUAUCUCCCCUAGGAAGUGAAGUAUGUGCAGAACACAACUUUGUAUUUGAACCUAGAGCUUAUGCAGAGAAAUUCUGUGCCUCCUUUAAAAUCCAAGUUGUCUCAAUAAUGGAUAUUUAUUUUCCCUGUGAGGCACUUAUGUUCUCUUUGGGACACUUGAAGAAUAUGUUCAGUUGUGACAUGGAGCUUCAUAAUUUAUGAAGUCUAACGUAUACCCAAAUCAUAAAGGUCAUUAAUUGAAAGUUUAGCAGUUCAGCAAAAUUUGUGAAUUUGUUUACUGUUCUCUCCCUAUUUUACUCAUUUGAAAAAAAAAAACCAAACCAAUUGAUAAGUGUAUUUUUACUAGUUGCUUUCGCUUGAAUUUGUUUUAGAAGUCUGUAAGGUGUUAGAUAAACACAAGCACUUGAAAAUACUUACUCUCCUAUUCUAUAGUUUAUCUCUUCGUUUUCCCAGUGGACCAAUGCAACUUCGUAUGGCUGAAUUUCAUGCUGUUCCAGCACUCGCAUUAUAUUCUUCAUCUAAGAAAAAGACAAUGCACAUAAGUAUAUAUAUAUAUGUAUGUAAUAUAUUUAUUAUGUAUAUAUAAAAAUAUUAUGUAUAUAUAAUGCACAUAAUAUAUUACUACUGUAAUAUAUUAUCACUCUACGAAGAGCUAGCAUGUAAAUACAUCGAUGAAGGCAACUUUCCUGCUUAUUAAUGUUAUUCACAUAAAAAGGAGUAGGUGUGCUAGUAACUUUUUUGUAUCCGAAGAAAGCAGUGAUUACCACAGUCUAUUUUGGAAGCUAUGUGCAAGAAUUUUGUGUCAUUGAACAACUGCAAAGGAUCUGUGAAAAUGUCAUUCAAUGCCUGCAUUUAUAAAACAAAGUAAGGAUUAACCACAGCAGCAGUAAAGACUGACAAUGCCAGAAUUAACUGUCGAUCCAUAAUGCAGCAUGCCAGAUUUCAAGGGUGUAUACACUUGGAUCCUGACAGCCUAGUUGGCAUUGUGGAGUCAUGAUCAAUAUAGUAAUAGUUAUACUGUUAACAAAUGAAGACUCUUUUCCUAAACUACUUCCAGCUCAGAGUAAGAUUUAACGAAGGUUUACAGACCAUAACCGACUGUGUGAAAUUCAUGUGCCUUGUCAUAUGCAUACUUGCAAAGUUCUGCCAUUCAUCUGGAUAACAGGAAAUGAUGUUUCAGUGGCAGCUUUCUUUUAAAGUGAUACAAAAGCUUUCAUUUAUUCCCGGCCCAGCCUAACUUUAUGGAAGGAACUACCUGUCACACAGUACAUUUAAUGAGAAGAGAUCUUUUGGAUUCAUUAAGUGCAAACUCUCGCAAUUAGAGGAGACUGCAUCACAGAAUCACCUUCUAACAAAACUGAUGCACUCCACUUUGAAGCUAGUUUAUUUUAUUUUUUUUUGCCCUCACUACUUCUGGUGGUUGUAUGGGAAUUGCUAAGUCAUGGCCUGAACCAAUGACUGAGCACCUGUUGUAGGGACACAGCCAACCCUGGGAGCACAGGUGGAACCGGGUUUCACCCCUCCCAAAGCCUCAUUUAAGGGUUGGCUGCCACCAGGGAAAGGUCUCUACCUGGAGAUCCCUUUCUCUGGAGUAUUUGGUGAGCCCUAAUCCUUAGGACAGGUAAGCACAUGUUUCUUUCUCUAACUGGAUUGUGACCAUCACCCUUUUUUUGGGGGGGGUAAUUUAGAACUGGUUAUCUGUUAUUAUCUUUCCCUCCAGUGGGGAGGAUAUUGCACAACCUUACUGCUGAGGUAUCUGAAAAAAGUAUUUUACAAUUUCAAAUCCCAGUGACAAUCAGCCUGCGGUUAUUGCUACUUCUGUUAAGUGUCCAUUAGCUUAAUAUAGUUUUUCCUCCCCUAGUGUUGGUUCUGGAAUACUUUCUAAGAGCAGUUUUGUCUGUUCACAGCAAGUCCCUACACACCAUUUUACUGAAUUACUUUCAGUUUCUGUUCAAUAGGCCUUUUUUGCCUUGUUUCAGUUCAUUGAAACUCAUGCAUAAAAAAAUACUGCCCUGUAUUUGAGCAAGGGUUUUGAAAACUAACACUCUGACUAUAGCUUCAAAAUACAGAAAAAGGCAGUUUUCCUCUUUUAUAAAUAAAACUAACAAAAACACCAACUAAAGUUGCUCCUGACAGAAAGAGUUUGUCAAGUUUUCUAUGGUACUUAUGCAUGUAAAAACAUAGGUGAAAAUCAGACUUUUCAGAGGGCAGAGGAGCCCAAUUCAUGAAAAUCAACAGGGUGUAGUCAGCUAGCCUUCAGCAACACCCAUGAGUCAGUAGCACAGUUACUGCCAUAGCACCCUGCAGGGUUUGAAGGGAGGGCAGUGUCUUUGUAGGCUAGCUGAGGUAACCCUCCAAAAUAAGACAGAAAAUCAGGAGCGUUUCAGGUCUGAUACAGAAAAAGCAAACCUGAAUGCAGAAGUAGUUCACAUCUGGCAGCAACUACUCCGUGUUUUCAUUUACAUCAGUGAAAAUCUGUCUAUGAACUGCCCAUCUCAGUAUCACCUGUUUAACGCACCAAUUAGUUUCGCAUACCCUGCCUACACAGAAGAUCGAUGCCUUUAUCUAUCUAGAGCUCACAUUUAUUUAAUCACAGUAAAAAAAGUAUUUUUAAAUAACUAGAAAUAUUUCCCUAAAAAUAAAUAUGCCUGCAGCAUACCCCUCUUAGUGAGCAAAUAAUAUCAAAUUAUCAUAAGGGAUGCAUUACUUCAGUAUUGCUAUUUUUUAGCGAUUAUACCAACCAAUAAAAACCUUCCUUCAGGGAAAAUUGCUCACUGGUAAAAACAUAAAACAAUGUAAAAAGCAACUGUUUCCAAAUCCUGCCCCUUGCGAGUCAUCCAAAUGUAAGUUUUGACUCUAGAGUGAUCCUUUACUUCUCAUUUAUUUUCCUUUGCAUUCAUUUCUUUUAAAUAACCAUUCAUGUGUUGAUUAUUCUGAUUUUCCUUUUUCAGUGUAUAUUGCUGUGGGGGGGGGGGGGGAACUUUCUGUCAAUCUCAUGAGAUUAAGGUUUCAGGUUUUUAGACUUGAGAGAUUUCACCCCCUUUGUAUGUUACACAUCUAUUUGCUCAUUUUGCGCAGAAAGACAGGCUUAAAAGGUCACGUAUAGGUGAUGUAUCAGGAACCCACACACUUGAGGGCAGCAGCAGGCCAGCAGCCGCACUCCUCAUAGAAGAAUCAGUCCUUUUCCUUCCUGGAGAGAUCCAAGUUCUCAGAAAAAAACCAAAGCACAAUGGGCUUUGUGGGACUGACAAGACAUCUGCUGAUGAAGUUUUAACAAAUGGUUUUUUUCUUUACUUACACUUUUUUCAUCCACAUUCCAAAACACAACAGCCCCUUCCCUGUGAAUUCAAGGAAAAACUGAGGUGUAAUUACGUUAUUUUAAAUGUACUUUAAUGCAAUACUCAAAUUGUAUGGUGGCAACUCUUGAUACUGUGAAUUAAGGAAUUUAAUACUAAUGCACAGAGACUAAGCAGUAGUUGCUUUUUAACCAUACUUUAGUGUAAAACAUUAAAAUGUUUGGUUUUUUCUGUGUAAAUAUGAUUUUUUUAAAUUAUAAAUCAUUUAGAUUGGACAGUUAUUCCUUGAGCUUCAUGAGGUGGUACGGAUGCAAUGAUUUAGUAAGCUGCACUGCAUUUGCAGGACUGCUAUUCAUAAAAUAACAUCACAGACAUAGUUUAUAACUUACCUGAAGAAAAAAACCAUGCCAGGAUCAUCUUCUUUUGCAGACUUCUCAGUACCCAUCACCAGAACGUUUGCAGCAUCUAAUUUGAAAUAGAAGAACAAACCAAAGUUCAAAAUGCAGGAUUAUUUAAACUUCGGAAUGCAAUAGCUACAAGCACGAUUUCAGUUCGAAGUCAGUCCUGUAUCUUAUUUUUCUGAUUAAAAAGCUAUAAUAUAAAGCUACACAGCUUCUCUGAAGCAUCACACUUUAGAUAGACUCAGCUAUGAUGUUGAUCUUCACUGGAAACUGUAGUUAAUGAAAUACAGUUGUUCUUAAAGAACAAAAGACUUAAGGAAAAACUCAUGCAGGGCGCAGUAAAUAACCAAGAGCAGAAUAGAGAAGGCAGAAGUGGACACGUAGCAUGGAAUGAUGGAAUUAAGCUCACAGUUGCUGAGUAAUUACCAACAUCUUUCUCUUUUUAAUUUAGCAAGGGACUGAUCUGCACUCAAAUUUUGCUGAUAGUGCUUUGAUAGAAACCUGAAAAGCAUACCCACAAGACAGCAGAAGUUACAUCUGUGUUCUCCUUCGGAUCAAAGCAUGCUUUUCAAACAAAUCUAGUUGCUCUCAUUUACCACACUUUCGAUUUGCAUUGCAGAAGUGUCAGAAUGCACGAACUGUAUCUAUUUUGCAUGAAAUUAAACUGAAAAAUGAAUUCCAGCCACUAACAGGAGUUCAUUACAGACCAGACUCAAGCUACUCUAUGCAGAAUGCCUCCAGUGUGGAUCCUGACUUCUCAAACCAGUCUUUUCUCCUGCAUCCUACAUAUCUGCUUUGCUGUACUACUUUGCUAAUGCGGACAUUGCUGCACUGGGGCCAGGCAGACUAAGGUGACAGGAAGAGAUGUCUAAAUAAGUAUAGGAUGCGCUUCUGCUAAUAACUGAAUUGAGACCGUGCAGAUGACCUGUAUGAACUCCUUAAAGAUUUCUUUCUCUUGCUAUUCCAGUUCAGGAACAACUGAUUUGAUGAAUCACCAGGGCAGGUUCUGGGUGUGAAGCUGGAGUUCACCACAGAAGAAACAUUUGUCUGAACUUGCUUACUUGCCUUUUCAAGUAUUGCCCUUACUUAAUCUUUCUUUAUCCUCUCCAGAUAAAAUAUAUAUGGUGGAUGUCCAUUUGGUCCCUUAUAAGGAGGGCUACAGUAUGAACCUCUAAAAUAUUUUUAAAGUGGUCAAAAAAGAAUGAUAUUAGGAAGGACACUACAAAGCAACGCAUCCAUAUUAAUUGCUAAUUUAGAUUUCUAUGUGUUAGUAUUUUUCAGAUGUAAGAUACAACUUCUGACUGGGUAACUUAGCCUCGUUAGAUCUAUCAUCCCAACCACCACAAAGUUUGCUGUCACAAUCAAACUUUCAUCACUUCCUGAACACUUUUGACAGAGUAUCUAUUGUAAGGAGUCAAAAACACACUGUAAAGAAAUGAAAGAAUUGGCAAAAACCACACUCCCAGGGUAAAAUGCCAGCAACAGCAAUGAAUGCAUCACAGCAAUUUGGAAUAAUUCUAUCCUGAAGCACUAAAAGGAGUGUUCUUUUUAAUACAGUGGAACUAUGAAGGAACAUGGAGCCUAUACUACACAAUGCCUUCUUUCUGAGAAAGACAACCAUUACUCAAGCAAUCUUCAUAAAGAUCCACUGGAGUACUGUCACGCUUGGUAUCUUAAGAGAGGCAGCCAGACACUUGAUAACCUCUUAUGAAAUGUCCAUGAACAAUAUCUUUUGCUUUGCAUAAUCUGUUUAUUCACAAAAAAUAAUAAAUCUACUGCUAACAUAUGAAAAUCACAGCUGUUCUAGGGCUAGAGGGUCUUUAAGCUAUAAAAAGCUCCAUUUGUUUUUCUCUUGUUGUGUGCUUCGCCUAUUUCCAUGCCAUACCUUCCCAAGUCUUCAGAGAUACUUUGUAUAGAUCCGGAACCAAUUACUGCUGAAGGGAACUAUUCAACAGUUACUAGGCUAUAUUUUGCCCAAUAUAAAGUAUCAGCUACAUUCUCUUUACCAGAACUAAAUAUCUAUAUGUGUAUCUUCUACAUUGCAUGUAGUCAGCAAGACUCUCUCUCAUGUGCCUCCAACCCUCAGCAACUUACAUUAAUAGAAAUGUGGGUAUGGAAAGAAGGUGCAACACUUCAAAUUACAAAACUGUUGACAGCUGAAGCACUGUGGUAUCACAUUACUGAAGCACUGAUUAAAAUAAGCCUUCAGAAAAGUUUCAGUUAGUGAAUUUCUAUGAAAGAAGAGUUUCUAUUAGAAAAUUUCAUUUAUGUUUUGAAUGCAUUCCCAAGGCUAUCUGAUUUUUUUUGAUUCUUUUAGUAUAAUAGUAAUUUAGGGAAAAAAUAUUAUAUGGUAACAGCAAUUCACUUUAAUUUGUAUUUUAUUUGAAGCAAAUGGAAUUUUAAAUACAGCUAUAUUUAUACAUUCCAGGGUAUUACCAAAAUGAAAACAUAUGAAGUUAUAAAAAUUAAAUAUCUCACCCAUAUUUCAUUUCCCAAGAUAUAAAACCAUUUUUAAGAUGUUUUAAAAAUCUACCUCUGGGCAAACUUGUUAUUUCAACAUAUCCAUGGGAAGUCAGGUCAUGACACAGAUUACCGAGAUGAUAUUCAUCUGCUGUUGCAAAGGCUGUGCACUGCAUCAGAUUCUGUGCCAAAGGAAUAAAGAAUUGAGUUAGGGAAAGGCUGAAGCAAGACGUACGUAAGACAUGCUCGUGUUUGCCUCAAAGCAAUCACAAGGGUGAUGUUUUUCAUUUAUUCACUCUCUUCUACUAUAUCACUGUUCUGCUGUCCGCUUGGUGUACAAAUACUAAUGUGAUUAGUUACUCUCUGUUAAGUGGGAAGCAAACGUAUCCCUCAUUCAUAGACUGAGAUCCAUCUACAUGCCACAAGUAAGUCAUGUCAACAAGCUUCAUGACAGGGCCACGAACGGAGCCCUUCUUUCCUCAAUGGCAGUGAAAUGCUUUAGCAGUACAAUCACACUUGCUCACCCUUCUCACAGCCUAUGACAUACGUGGCUGACCAGCAAAAUCAAAAGCAAGGCGCCCCAAAUACCAGCCUACAGCUCUCUGAAGAUGCACAGAGUUAAACUAUCCCAGCCUGCUUAGCAAACAUAAGCUCCAGCUGCAAAUACUGCGUUCUGAGCGCUGAGCUCACUGCCCAGGUAACUCCUGGAACCUAAACCAUCACAGCACUGCAGCACAGCAAGUCACAGACCUUCAGUGCCAGCCCAAACGCUGCACGUCAUCAGUAUUCCCCUCCAAGUGAAAUCUCGCGCUGACAGUGCGGUCUCAAUUGAAAUCACAGCUGAGCGGUAUACAACAGCCGGAGUUUGUCUCCGUGUUCCACAAUCUUAUGUACAUAAAAUGCCACACUGAAACAAAUAACUGGCACCAUGCAAGAUGAGGAAAAGUGAUACUGACUCUCAAAAAGAUCAACUCGUGCAUGGAAGAGAAAUCAAACAUCUGUGUAAAAGCUUUCCUGAUGAAUUCAGCAAGGCGUAAUAAACCGGUCUACAAAACCUACUCCCCACUUUAAGUACAUUUCUUUGUUCCGAUACCUCAUAUAUCCCAUUAUAAUGCUUUUCAGUACAGUGUAAUGGAAGAUAUCCAGAAAGCAAUGCUUCUCAGUGCAGAUCAGUCGCUUUCCAGCUUUUUUUGUAGCUAACACAAAGGGGGGAUGUGCCUAACAACAAAUGUACAGAAGAGCUGUACUCAUCUGCAAGUGCUUACACCCACAAUAUGCUCCAACUUAAAAUCCAAAUGAUAUUCUCACGGCACUCAUACGCUGUCAAACUGCAACACCUGAAAAGGUGCUCUGCUCCUUAAGGAGGCCCAGAGGCAGUAAGCUGGAUCAGGGCCCACAUUUAAACUUCUUUCGUUUUCUUAACAUCAACGUUCUGUUGUCAUUCCCAAAGUUUUGGGAAUCACAUUUUCACAUCACUUUCUCUCAGUGACCACUAACAGAGAGCAGUUACAAUACUCAGAGAGCAGUUCUGUAGACGUGUUCCCACGACUGUGCCAGUAACACAGUUAACUGCUGGUAACCGUGGAACAGCACUGUAUUUUCAGCUCCCUUGCUGCAGUACCUUUGAAAAGUUGCAUUCUUACAGUAUCAUCUGUACAAAUCCAUUCCCAGCAUCUGAACUGCCAGUGCAAAUUACACAUUUUAGAUUCUUCUGGAAAGCUCUGGUUCAUGUAAGCACACACACGCUGCCAUGAAAUCCUUCAGGAAGCACACCGUUAUCUUCCAGCUGUAUAUCAUCUGAAAAUCCGUACCCUGCUCUAUACUUUCUGCAGUUAAAGUUGUUAUUGUUCACUUCAAGGUAGAUGCACUACAGGACAGACUGUUUAAUUUACAGCUGUGAUUUUAGUUUCCACGCGAAGACUUUAAUUAGCACCAGAAGUUGGCUGCCAAGAAGAUGUGCCUGAAAUAGCAGUCUGGAUAUGUAGCUUGGCGAUGGUUCUUUUUUUUUUUUCUUUUUAAACAAUGCACUGUUUCACCUUUGCUAAAAUAUUGUUCAGUGAGGGACUUUCAGCAUGGGUGUAGAGUUUAAGACACCUAUAAUUUACGUGUCCACAGGCAUUCUAGAUGCUCAGGCUUCCAUGGUAGUUGAUGGAGAUGUAACACAGAAGUCUCUAGUCAGCUCAUCUGAAAAUACCUGUGUUAACUGGCUGGUAAACCUUCAUCCCACACUGUCUGUUACAUCACCUUCACCUGCAAGCUUGCCUAAAAUAAAGGCAGCUCUGUCCUGCUGACAGCAACUCCAGUCACUUGCCACCUCUCCUUCCUGACUGCACCUGGGUUCAUUAAGAUUCAGUUCAGAGCUCCAAAGCAACCAUCAGAUCAGCCAUUCUAAGUACUCGUUUUCUGUAUCAUCAACCCCACAGCAACUGCACAGGAACUAUCAUUCUCAUAGCUCAUCCCUUGCAUUUUGAGAAUGCAAACAUUUUUAAGUAAGAAAACCUAUAAAAUGAACUUAAACUUCACAUCACCACAGGCAUCCAUCUCUAUCUCAAGGAUAGCUGCUACUGCAUUUUUAACUGAUUUUCAAGCUUUGUCAAGGCAACAGCAUUAAAAAUCAGCUUAAAGGCUUCUCAUGUCUUGUGAGACCUUGUGAGAUGAGUAACUAAUCCGAGUAGUAGUGACAGUAUGCACCAAUGCAUGACUAACCAAAUGAAUGACUAACCAAACCAGUUAUCACGUUAGAGUAACCCCUCCAUCUAUCCUGAAAAGCUGGUCUGAUGAUCAUUUAUUACUGCUGGUGCUCAGCAUUCCAUCUGCAGACAGCAGCUGAAGAUGAGUGCUUAGAAGGAGCCUAUCCAUGGAACGUUCUGCAAAAGGAAGUUGUUAAUGAGCCCAUCAAACAGAAAACAUCAGAGACUUCAGGGUUCACCUAACUGAAAACCCACGUGAGUCUACAGCAUGUCUCCAGGGGCAGACUGUGAAGGAAGACAACAGUCAACUCUAAGCUGCAUUGGAAACAUGGCUUAUGUUACCGGAGGGUUCUUGGUUACUUCAGAACAAGCAGAGAAAGACAAGAUCAGCUUUUUUGUGACACCAGGAUUUAGAGGAAAAUGACAGCAUGGUGAAAAAAACAUACAUCAAGGAUUCUCCAUUUGCUGCACCUGUGUCAGUCACCUUACAGAAAACAGUCUCAUCUUUCAGUUAGCUCCCUACAUUACAAAUCUACAAGGGACUAUACAAAUAGGUUCCAAAAAAAGAAGAAAAAAAGCAGCUUAUUCCAAAAUGCUGUCAGCCUGCACAGGGUCAGGGUGACAGCCUGGCAGUACCCCUGUAGAUGGAGGUGUAUGUUUGACAAAACCACACACUGUUUAUUUAAAAAUAGAGAAUGGUUUGUUAGGUCCUAGUUUACAUCAUUUCUGGCACGCCGUUUUGCAGUGUGGGAUCUUCCCCAGAAAUGAUAUUUCAGUCUAUCAGGCAGAAUGUUUUCAAUUUCUUCAAAAUGGAAGAAAGUAAAAAUAGCAGCGCGUAUUACUUGCAAGCACACACAUGAAACUAUAAAACAAAGAAACUUAGCAUCUCAUACUGCCAUGCAGAAACCUCAGGAAUCUAAAAAAAGUCACUUAAAUCCACCCAACGACAACCUCUGAAUAUGUCAUAGCAUAAACAGAAAGCUUGGAACAGUAUGUGGUACGUUAAGACAGAGUUCUACAUCUUCUUCUUUCAAAGCAACAGGAAAAUUCAAGUGGGAAAUGAAUUUUCUACAAUGGAGCCUUGGUGGUACAUUAUAUCAUACUCCUCUUAGUCAUAUGAGAUAUUAAACAGGAGCUUAUAUGCCUGGAAGGCAAUCAUUAAGACCUCACUUUCUGUGCUCACAUUCAGCAGACCAUGUAAUAGGCAUAUUUUGCAAUAUGCAAUCUAUUUAUAGAAGCACAAUACUUGUCUCAGUCUCAUCUAUAGUACUAUUUUGUUAGCAACACCCUGGAACUCAGUUGUUAUUGUAGUUUGAGGAGAACAAUAACAUUUCUGACUCCACGACUUUCCUUGGAGAUCUUAUAUUCAAGUAUGCUUGCAGUCUGCUUUGGCUACAAGUAGUGGGGCUCGUAAAGACCUAUCUCAGGGAGCAACAGCUACAAGUAUGCACUGUUCCAGUUACUCAUCCUGUAUAUCUGAUUUUAUCCACAAGAGUUUGUUGUGGCAGUUAAUCUGUAGACCCAGGAGUCUGGUGAUCCAGGUGCUAUUUCUACACAUGGAAUAAUCUUGCUCAAGUUACACAGGCUACAUCUGCAGCUCAGUUCUUCUACUGAUAGCACAGAAAUAACUUUCUAUUUUUCUG
rnacentral:lncRNA from 1 species